UUAAGCGACUAAGCGUACACGGUGGAUGCCCUGGCAGUCAGAGGCGAUGAAGGACGUGCUAAUCUGCGAUAAGCGUCGGUAAGGUGAUAUGAACCGUUAUAACCGGCGAUUUCCGAAUGGGGAAACCCAGUGUGUUUCGACACACUAUCAUUAACUGAAUCCAUAGGUUAAUGAGGCGAACCGGGGGAACUGAAACAUCUAAGUACCCCGAGGAAAAGAAAUCAACCGAGAUUCCCCCAGUAGCGGCGAGCGAACGGGGAGCAGCCCAGAGCCUGAAUCAGUGUGUGUGUUAGUGGAAGCGUCUGGAAAGGCGCGCGAUACAGGGUGACAGCCCCGUACACAAAAAUGCACAUGCUGUGAGCUCGAUGAGUAGGGCGGGACACGUGGUAUCCUGUCUGAAUAUGGGGGGACCAUCCUCCAAGGCUAAAUACUCCUGACUGACCGAUAGUGAACCAGUACCGUGAGGGAAAGGCGAAAAGAACCCCGGCGAGGGGAGUGAAAAAGAACCUGAAACCGUGUACGUACAAGCAGUGGGAGCACGCUUAGGCGUGUGACUGCGUACCUUUUGUAUAAUGGGUCAGCGACUUAUAUUCUGUAGCAAGGUUAACCGAAUAGGGGAGCCGAAGGGAAACCGAGUCUUAACUGGGCGUUAAGUUGCAGGGUAUAGACCCGAAACCCGGUGAUCUAGCCAUGGGCAGGUUGAAGGUUGGGUAACACUAACUGGAGGACCGAACCGACUAAUGUUGAAAAAUUAGCGGAUGACUUGUGGCUGGGGGUGAAAGGCCAAUCAAACCGGGAGAUAGCUGGUUCUCCCCGAAAGCUAUUUAGGUAGCGCCUCGUGAAUUCAUCUCCGGGGGUAGAGCACUGUUUCGGCAAGGGGGUCAUCCCGACUUACCAACCCGAUGCAAACUGCGAAUACCGGAGAAUGUUAUCACGGGAGACACACGGCGGGUGCUAACGUCCGUCGUGAAGAGGGAAACAACCCAGACCGCCAGCUAAGGUCCCAAAGUCAUGGUUAAGUGGGAAACGAUGUGGGAAGGCCCAGACAGCCAGGAUGUUGGCUUAGAAGCAGCCAUCAUUUAAAGAAAGCGUAAUAGCUCACUGGUCGAGUCGGCCUGCGCGGAAGAUGUAACGGGGCUAAACCAUGCACCGAAGCUGCGGCAGCGACACUAUGUGUUGUUGGGUAGGGGAGCGUUCUGUAAGCCUGUGAAGGUGUGCUGUGAGGCAUGCUGGAGGUAUCAGAAGUGCGAAUGCUGACAUAAGUAACGAUAAAGCGGGUGAAAAGCCCGCUCGCCGGAAGACCAAGGGUUCCUGUCCAACGUUAAUCGGGGCAGGGUGAGUCGACCCCUAAGGCGAGGCCGAAAGGCGUAGUCGAUGGGAAACAGGUUAAUAUUCCUGUACUUGGUGUUACUGCGAAGGGGGGACGGAGAAGGCUAUGUUGGCCGGGCGACGGUUGUCCCGGUUUAAGCGUGUAGGCUGGUUUUCCAGGCAAAUCCGGAAAAUCAAGGCUGAGGCGUGAUGACGAGGCACUACGGUGCUGAAGCAACAAAUGCCCUGCUUCCAGGAAAAGCCUCUAAGCAUCAGGUAACAUCAAAUCGUACCCCAAACCGACACAGGUGGUCAGGUAGAGAAUACCAAGGCGCUUGAGAGAACUCGGGUGAAGGAACUAGGCAAAAUGGUGCCGUAACUUCGGGAGAAGGCACGCUGAUAUGUAGGUGAAGUCCCUUGCGGAUGGAGCUGAAAUCAGUCGAAGAUACCAGCUGGCUGCAACUGUUUAUUAAAAACACAGCACUGUGCAAACACGAAAGUGGACGUAUACGGUGUGACGCCUGCCCGGUGCCGGAAGGUUAAUUGAUGGGGUUAGCGCAAGCGAAGCUCUUGAUCGAAGCCCCGGUAAACGGCGGCCGUAACUAUAACGGUCCUAAGGUAGCGAAAUUCCUUGUCGGGUAAGUUCCGACCUGCACGAAUGGCGUAAUGAUGGCCAGGCUGUCUCCACCCGAGACUCAGUGAAAUUGAACUCGCUGUGAAGAUGCAGUGUACCCGCGGCAAGACGGAAAGACCCCGUGAACCUUUACUAUAGCUUGACACUGAACAUUGAGCCUUGAUGUGUAGGAUAGGUGGGAGGCUUUGAAGUGUGGACGCCAGUCUGCAUGGAGCCGACCUUGAAAUACCACCCUUUAAUGUUUGAUGUUCUAACGUUGACCCGUAAUCCGGGUUGCGGACAGUGUCUGGUGGGUAGUUUGACUGGGGCGGUCUCCUCCUAAAGAGUAACGGAGGAGCACGAAGGUUGGCUAAUCCUGGUCGGACAUCAGGAGGUUAGUGCAAUGGCAUAAGCCAGCUUGACUGCGAGCGUGACGGCGCGAGCAGGUGCGAAAGCAGGUCAUAGUGAUCCGGUGGUUCUGAAUGGAAGGGCCAUCGCUCAACGGAUAAAAGGUACUCCGGGGAUAACAGGCUGAUACCGCCCAAGAGUUCAUAUCGACGGCGGUGUUUGGCACCUCGAUGUCGGCUCAUCACAUCCUGGGGCUGAAGUAGGUCCCAAGGGUAUGGCUGUUCGCCAUUUAAAGUGGUACGCGAGCUGGGUUUAGAACGUCGUGAGACAGUUCGGUCCCUAUCUGCCGUGGGCGCUGGAGAACUGAGGGGGGCUGCUCCUAGUACGAGAGGACCGGAGUGGACGCAUCACUGGUGUUCGGGUUGUCAUGCCAAUGGCACUGCCCGGUAGCUAAAUGCGGAAGAGAUAAGUGCUGAAAGCAUCUAAGCACGAAACUUGCCCCGAGAUGAGUUCUCCCUGACUCCUUGAGAGUCCUGAAGGAACGUUGAAGACGACGACGUUGAUAGGCCGGGUGUGUAAGCGCAGCGAUGCGUUGAGCUAACCGGUACUAAUGAACCGUGAGGCUUAACCUU
rnacentral:rRNA from 1 species